UCAUUAGCUCAGUUGGUUAGAGCAACCGGCUCAUAACCGGUAGGUCCCGGGUUCGAAUCCCUGAUGAU
rnacentral:tRNA from 1 species